AAAGGGUAUUGCAGAAUUCACUUAUCAACAUUCAACCACGAAAACAGAAAAGAACCAACGCCAAUACUCCCUUUUAGAAGAAUCUAUAGUGGAGAAGGGACAAGAAUUUGGCAAUACAGAGAAGAGGGAGGGGACAGGAGAUUCGGCAAAGGGGACUAAAGAAGUAUUCGGUCAAAACAAAACAAGAGAAAAAAAAGAAUAAAAGGGAAAAGCAGGAAAACAAAAGAGCAAACCCGAGAGGUACCCGAAGUCUUUAGCAAAAUUAAGCACAAGAAAAAGAUGAAAGAAAAACUGACCAAAGUCGAAGCAAACGGAGAGAAAAACAACCCCAAAACUGAUUCCCUUAAUGCCUAAAGACCAAAUUCAGCACAAGCAUACCCCCAAACGGCACAACUCCCCCUCACUCCCAAACUCCUUGAUUUCCUCCUAAAAUCUCUCCCCUUAUCCUUCCUUGAAUCACUCUAUGAUCAGUUCAAACUCCUUUUAGCAGUAUUCUAGUCCAACUUCACCACCUACCCAACUCAAGCAGCAAAAUAAAUAAUCCAUUGCUCAAC
rnacentral:lncRNA from 1 species